rnacentral:rRNA from 1 species
GACGAACGCUGGCGGCGUGCUUAACACAUGCAAGUCGAACGGAAAGGCCCUGCUUUUGUGGGGUGCUCGAGUGGCGAACGGGUGAGUAACACGUGAGUAACCUGCCCUUGACUUUGGGAUAACUUCAGGAAACUGGGGCUAAUACCGGAUAGGAGCUCCUGCUGCAUGGUGGGGGUUGGAAAGUUUCGGCGGAUGGGGAUGGACUCGCGGCUUAUCAGCUUGUUGGUGGGGUAGUGGCUUACCAAGGCUUUGACGGGUAGCCGGCCUGAGAGGGUGACCGGCCACAUUGGGACUGCGAUACGGCCCAGACUCCUACGGGAGGCAGAAGUGGGGAAUAUUGCACCAUGGGCGGAAGCCUGAUGCAGCAACGCCGCGUGCGGGAUGACGGCCUUCGGGUUGUAAACCGCUUUCGCCUGUGACGAAGCGUGAGUGACGGUAAUGGGUAAAGAAGCACCGGCUAACUACGUG